GAUGAACGCUGGCGGCGUGCUUAACACAUGCAAGUCGAACGAGAAAUGUAGACGGACACCUUCGGGCGGAAGCCUUCAUUUCGAGUGGCGGACGGGUGAGUAACGCGUGGGUAACCUGCCUCAUACAGGGGGAUAACAGUUGGAAACGACUGUUAAUACCGCAUAAGACCACAGCAUCGCAUGAUGCGGGGGUAAAAACUCCGGUGGUAUGAGAUGGACCCGCGUUCGAUUAGCCAGUUGGCGGGGUAACGGCCCACCAAAGCGACGAUCGAUAGCCGAUCUGAGAGGAUGACCGGCCACAUUGGGACUGAGACACGGCCCAAACUCCUACGGGAGGCAGCAGUGGGGAAUAUUGCACAAUGGGGGAAACCCUGAUGCAGCGACGCCGCGUGAGUGAAGAAGUACUUCGGUAUGUAAAGCUCUAUCAGCAGGGAAGAAAAUGACGGUACCUGAGUAAGAAGCCCCGGCUAACUACGU
rnacentral:rRNA from 1 species